AUUUUUAAGAUUUUUGGCACACCAAGUGAAACAAUUUGGCCCGGGUUCUCAAAAUUACCUGGAGUCAAGGUCAAUUUUGUUAAGUACCAACUUCUAACUUUGGGUGGUUCUGGUCUGGCUAUCUGGCUAUUCUUGGUGAUUUGUCUUAUUUCUGAACUUUUCUCGGAUCACGGCUGAAGCUGCUCUCAAUCAUGAAUAGUUUCAUGAAGUUCCUCUUUCCAAGAGUAAAGAAUUUAUGUCAACCUUUCUUGCUCAAGACAGAUAUUUUGCCCUCAUAAGAAACUAGUUUUGCAAUCUUAUUGUGGCUGCCCCAAAGAUGAUUAUAGUAGGCAAUUCCAGUCACUGUAAAAUACUUGUCAAGUUUUGGUUACCAUUGAUAAUCAUCAUUCAUUUGAUGCCUAUGCUUUAUUAUGCAAACAGGCAGAUGCAGAGAGUAUUAAAGAGUCCGGAUCCUUUAGAGGAGCAGCGCUGUAAGGAGUUGCAGCAGGGUGAAUCAGGCGCUGGUAGAAUUUUUGGCUAGUAAUCGUAAACUCUAAAAUUGUCAUAACAAUCAUUCUAACUCACACCACUGAAAUGUUUGCAUGUAUGAGGUGAGAGUAUAAACCGAAAGGAAGUUGCAACCAUUGUUUGUUAAACGAUCACUUGUACUGUUUUUUA